rnacentral:rRNA from 1 species
AGAGUUUGAUCAUGGCUCAGGACGUACGCUGGCGGCACGCCUAACACAUGCAAGUCGAACGCAGUAGCAAUACUGAGUGGCAAACGGGUGAGUAUAAUGUGGGAAUCUGCCUUUUGGUUUGGAAUAACACGGGGAAACUUGUGCUAAUACCGAAUAAGCCCUUACGGGGAAAGUUUUAACGCCGAAAGAUGAGCCCGCACUUGAUUAGCUAGUUGGUAAGGUAAAAGCUUACCAAGGCAACGAUCAAUAGCUGUUCUUAGAGGAAGACCAGCCACAUUGGGACUGAGACACGGCCCAGACUCCUACGGGAGGCAGCAGUGGGGAAUCUUGCACAAUGGGGGAAACCCUGAUGCAGCGAUGCCGCGUGAGUGAAGAAGGCCCUUGGGUUGUAAAACUCUUUCGUCGGGGAAGAAAAUGACUGUACCCGAAUAAGAAGGUCCGGCUAACUUCGUGCCAGCAGCCGCGGUAAU